CUGACAGGUGCAGAGAGUGCAGAAAAUUGUUGGAUACCAAAAUUCAAUUGAAUUUGAAUUUGAUUGUAUUGACAACAUUGGAACAAUGACAGGAUAUGAGCCUUGGAUGUAAAAAAAGGAAGGGCAUUUUGAAAUUUAGUCAGAGCUAACUGUCCAUCGAAUGUGAAAGCACAUAUCACCUGAAAGGAUUCUUAAAAGAAAUCUCUCAAACGGCACCAUCUAUUAAAGGACCAAGGAAUUUUAUACAAAGACACUUGCAGUUAAAAAAAAUUCAUAGAAGACAGCCCAGGGAGAAGACUGCAGAAUUGGAAGGACAGAAGGAAACUGCAGAAUUGGAAGGACAGAAGGAAACUGCAGAAUUGGAAGGACAGAAGGAAACAGCAGAUUUGGAAGACUGGAAGGAAGAAAGACAGCAUAAAAGACUGAAUGGACUUUGAGAGAUUAAGUUAAUUUUUAAUGAUUGUGUUACUAGAGCUGCAUUUUAUAAAGUUGGGGUUAGAUAGUGAUUAGUUUAGAAGAAGGGGGCUCAGCUUUGUUAAUAGUUUUUGUUUAGUAUUCACUGUUAAGAGUUAGGAAAAUAAAUUGUUAU